UGAUAUGCUSGUCUCAAAGAUUAAGCCAUGCAUGUGUAAGUACACGCCGUAUCAAGGCUAGACCGCGAACGGCUCAUUAAAUCAGUUAUGAUUUACAGGAUGUGAAUCCGAAUUACUUGGAUAACCCUGGUAAUUCUAGAGCUAAUACAUGAAAACCCACACUUUCCGACCGCAAGGGAGGAAUGCUUUGAUUAGAUGAAAAACCAACCGGGCUUCGGUCCGCAAACUACUGCUAUGUUGAAUCUGAAUGACUUUGUGCUGAGAGCACGGCCUCCGCGCCGGCUCCGUAUCUUUCGAGUUUCUGCCUUAUCAUGCUAGAUUGUAGGCUACGCGCCUACUGUGGCUGCCACGGGUAACGGAGAAUCAGGGUUCGAUUCCGGAGAGGGAGCCUGAGAAACGGCUACCACAUCCAAGGAAGGCAGCAGGCACGCAAAUUACCCAAUCCCAGCCCGGGGAGGUAGUGACGAAAAAUAACGAUGCGGUACUCUUCGGAGUAUGCGUAAUUGGAAUGAGUACACUUUAAAUCCUAUAGCAACAACCGAUUGGAGGGCAAGUCUGGUGCCAGCAGCCGCGGUAAUUCCAGCUCCAAUAGCGUAUAUUAAAGUUGUUGCGGUUAAAAAGCUCGUAGUCAGAGCUUUCCUCCGGAGUGGUCGGGUAGGUGGCCGCCCGGCCGUCUACUCCGUAAACUCCGGUAUGCUUCCUCGCCCAGAGGGAGCGCCAGCCGGUUUCGGGCGGGGUGCUCUUCACCGAGUGUCCCGCGCGACCGGCCGUUUUACCUUGAAUAAAUGAGAGUGCUCAAAGCAGGCUACUCUUAAAAAUAAAGCCCGAAUGAUAACCGCAUGGAAUAAUGGAAGAUGAGCUCGGUUCCAUUUUGGUUCUUGUGUUAUGGAACCCGAGUUAAUGAUGAAGCGGGACAGACGGGGGCAUCCGUACUACGACGCGAGAGGUGAAAUUCUGUGACCGUCGUAGGACGAACAACAGCGAAAGCAUUUGCCAAGAAUGUUUUCCUUGAUCAAGAACGAAAGUUAGAGGAUCGAAGGCGAUCAGAUACCGCCCUAGUUUUAACCGUAAACGAUGCUAACUAGUAAUCCGCCGUCGUUAUACCCAUGACGCGGCGGGACACCUCCGGGAAACCUCAAGUCUUUGAGUUCCGGGGGUAGUAUGGUUGCAAAAUUGAAACUUAAAGGAAUUGACGGAAGGGCACCACCAGGAGUGGAGCCUGCGGCUUAAUUUGACUCAACACGGGGAACCUCACCAGGCCCGGACACUAGAAGGACUGACAGAUUAAGAGCUCUUUCUCGAUUGGGUGGAUGGUGGUGCAUGGCCGUUCUUAGUUGGUGGAGUGAUUUGUCUGGUUAAU
rnacentral:rRNA from 1 species